rnacentral:rRNA from 1 species
CUGGCGGCAGGCUUAACACAUGCAAGUCGAACGCAUCCUUCGGGGUGAGUGGCAGACGGGUGAGUAACGCGUGGGAACGUGCCCUUCAGUUCGGAAUAACCCAGGGAAACUUGGGCUAAUACCGGAUACGUGCGAGAGCAGAAAGAUUUAUCGCUGAAGGAUCGGCCCGCGUCUGAUUAGCUAGUUGGUGAGGUAAUGGCUCACCAAGGCGACGAUCAGUAGCUGGUCUGAGAGGAUGAUCAGCCACAUUGGGACUGAGACACGGCCCAAACUCCUACGGGAGGCAGCAGUGGGGAAUAUUGGACAAUGGGCGCAAGCCUGAUCCAGCCAUGCCGCGUGAGUGAUGAAGGCCUUAGGGUUGUAAAGCUCUUUCGUCCGGGACGAUAAUGACGGUACCGGAAGAAGAAGCCCCGGCUAACUUCG